ACUAAGCGUACACGGUGGAUGCCCUGGCAGUCAGAGGCGAUGAAGGGCGUGCUAAUCUGCGAUAAGCGCCGGUAAGGUGAUAUGAACCGUUAUAACCGGCGAUACCCGAAUGGGGAAACCCAGUGUGACUCGUCACACUAUCAUUAACUGAAUCCAUAGGUUAAUGAGGCGAACCGGGGGAACUGAAACAUCUAAGUACCCCGAGGAAAAGAAAUCAACCGAGAUUCCCCCAGUAGCGGCGAGCGAACGGGGAGGAGCCCAGAGCCUGAAUCAGCAUGUGUGUUAGUGGAAGCGUCUGGAAAGGCGCGCGAUACAGGGUGACAGCCCCGUACACAAAAGCGCAUGUGCUGUGAGCUCGAUGAGUAGGGCGGGACACGUGGUAUCCUGUCUGAAUAUGGGGGGACCAUCCUCCAAGGCUAAAUACUCCUGACUGACCGAUAGUGAACCAGUACCGUGAGGGAAAGGCGAAAAGAACCCCGGCGAGGGGAGUGAAAAAGAACCUGAAACCGUGUACGUACAAGCAGUGGGAGCCCCACCACCAAAGCGUUUCGCUUUGUGUGGUGCACAAAGAAGCGUAACGACAGCACUGAAUGACGGUUAACGGAGCGCAAGCGACGUUCAACAUACAAAGUCAAGCAGUGGAGCGCUUUGGGGUGGGGUGACUGCGUACCUUUUGUAUAAUGGGUCAGCGACUUAUAUUCUGUAGCAAGGUUAACCGAAUAGGGGAGCCGGAGGGAAACCGAGUCUUAAUUGGGCGUUAAGUUGCAGGGUAUAGACCCGAAACCCGGUGAUCUAGCCAUGGGCAGGUUGAAGGUUGGGUAACACUAACUGGAGGACCGAACCGACUAAUGUUGAAAAAUUAGCGGAUGACCUGUGGCUGGGGGUGAAAGGCCAAUCAAACCGGGAGAUAGCUGGUUCUCCCCGAAAGCUAUUUAGGUAGCGCCUCGUGAAUUCAUCUCCGGGGGUAGAGCACUGUUUCGGCUAGGGGGCCAUCCCGGCUUACCAACCCGAUGCAAACUGCGAAUACCGGAGAAUGUUAUCACGGGAGACACACGGCGGGUGCUAACGUCCGUCGUGAAGAGGGAAACAACCCAGACCGCCAGCUAAGGUCCCAAAGUCAUGGUUAAGUGGGAAACGAUGUGGGAAGGCCCAGACAGCCAGGAUGUUGGCUUAGAAGCAGCCAUCAUUUAAAGAAAGCGUAAUAGCUCACUGGUCGAGUCGGCCUGCGCGGAAGAUGUAACGGGGCUAAACCAUGCACCGAAGCUGCGGCAGCGACGCUUAUGCGUUGUUGGGUAGGGGAGCGUUCUGUAAGCCUGUGAAGGUGGCCUGUGAGGGUUGCUGGAGGUAUCAGAAGUGCGAAUGCUGACAUAAGUAACGAUAAAGCGGGUGAAAAGCCCGCUCGCCGGAAGACCAAGGGUUCCUGUCCAACGUUAAUCGGGGCAGGGUGAGUCGACCCCUAAGGCGAGGCCGAAAGGCGUAGUCGAUGGGAAACGGGUUAAUAUUCCCGUACUUGGUGUUACUGCGAAGGGGGGACGGAGAAGGCUAUGUUGGCCGGGCGACGGUUGUCCCGGUUUAAGCGUGUAGGUGUGUGUUCCAGGUAAAUCCGGUUCACUUUAACACUGAGGCGUGAUGACGAGGCACUACGGUGCUGAAGCAACAAAUGCCCUGCUUCCAGGAAAAGCCUCUAAGCAUCAGGUAACAUCAAAUCGUACCCCAAACCGACACAGGUGGUCAGGUAGAGAAUACCAAGGCGCUUGAGAGAACUCGGGUGAAGGAACUAGGCAAAAUGGUGCCGUAACUUCGGGAGAAGGCACGCUGACAUGUAGGUGAAGUGAUUUACUCAUGGAGCUGAAGUCAGUCGAAGAUACCAGCUGGCUGCAACUGUUUAUUAAAAACACAGCACUGUGCAAACACGAAAGUGGACGUAUACGGUGUGACGCCUGCCCGGUGCCGGAAGGUUAAUUGAUGGGGUCAGCGCAAGCGAAGCUCCUGAUCGAAGCCCCGGUAAACGGCGGCCGUAACUAUAACGGUCCUAAGGUAGCGAAAUUCCUUGUCGGGUAAGUUCCGACCUGCACGAAUGGCGUAAUGAUGGCCAGGCUGUCUCCACCCGAGACUCAGUGAAAUUGAACUCGCUGUGAAGAUGCAGUGUACCCGCGGCAAGACGGAAAGACCCCGUGAACCUUUACUAUAGCUUGACACUGAACAUUGAGCCUUGAUGUGUAGGAUAGGUGGGAGGCUUUGAAGUGUGGACGCCAGUCUGCAUGGAGCCGACCUUGAAAUACCACCCUUUAAUGUUUGAUGUUCUAACGUGGACCCGUGAUCCGGGUUGCGGACAGUGUCUGGUGGGUAGUUUGACUGGGGCGGUCUCCUCCUAAAGAGUAACGGAGGAGCACGAAGGUUGGCUAAUCCUGGUCGGACAUCAGGAGGUUAGUGCAAUGGCAUAAGCCAGCUUGACUGCGAGCGUGACGGCGCGAGCAGGUGCGAAAGCAGGUCAUAGUGAUCCGGUGGUUCUGAAUGGAAGGGCCAUCGCUCAACGGAUAAAAGGUACUCCGGGGAUAACAGGCUGAUACCGCCCAAGAGUUCAUAUCGACGGCGGUGUUUGGCACCUCGAUGUCGGCUCAUCACAUCCUGGGGCUGAAGUAGGUCCCAAGGGUAUGGCUGUUCGCCAUUUAAAGUGGUACGCGAGCUGGGUUUAGAACGUCGUGAGACAGUUCGGUCCCUAUCUGCCGUGGGCGCUGGAGAACUGAGGGGGGCUGCUCCUAGUACGAGAGGACCGGAGUGGACGCAUCACUGGUGUUCGGGUUGUCAUGCCAAUGGCACUGCCCGGUAGCUAAAUGCGGAAGAGAUAAGUGCUGAAAGCAUCUAAGUACGAAACUUGCCCCGAGAUGAGUUCUCCCUGAGACUUAGAGUCUCCUGAAGGAACGUUGAAGACGACGACGUUGAUAGGCCGGGUGUGUAAGCGCAGCGAUGCGUUGAGCUAACCGGUACUAAUGAACCGUGAGGCUUAACC
rnacentral:rRNA from 1 species